CUGAGGGUCAGCUGACCUCCCCCACCCAGGCCUCCAUAGCCCAGCCCUCUGGACAGACCUGAGUCCGGGCAGCCCCUCCACCAGUGCCACGGUGGACGGCAACCCUCCACGCUGGCCUCUGGGAAGGACCCCAAACCACAGAGCGAGCACUGAAAACAAUCACUUUCCAGGGAACCCCUCUCUUCUACGGCCGCCCCCCACGUCCCACCAGGAGUGAGGCUCUGGGCCCCCCUGCCAAGAGCCCUCAGCCAGGACGACACUGCUAUGCCAGCGGUACAGGCUAAGGAGAAGUUGAAGGGCUGCUGACUGCCCCCUUUGGCCCAGAAACCGCUACCUCGACCUCAAGCCACCCUCUUGUGGAUCUGCAGGGCGCCCCAUCCUGGCGCUGAGGCAUGGUUGUGCAGGACAGUGUGGACGCGGGGGACACCAGGGUGGGCGUGGCCCUGGAGCCCUUCCUGCACCAGGUCGGGGGCCACCUGAGCGUGAUGACGUAUGACGAGCACACCGUGUGCAAGCCCCUCAUCUCCCGGGAGCAGAGGUUCUACGAGUCCUUGCCACUGGCCAUGAAGCGCUUCACCCCGCAGUACAAAGGCACCAUCACCGUGCACCUGCAGAAGGACAGCCGUGGCCGGCUCAGCCUGGUCGCCAACCCGCUGAAGGAGAACCGGGGUCCCCUCAAGGUCACGGAGGAAUCAACAGCGGUGGCGAUAUGGCAGACUCUCCAGCAGACCUGUGGCGGCGGCAGCGGCCUCCCCGUCGCCCAGUGGCAGCACACCCAGCCGGCCCACGCAGUCAAGGACAGCCCGGCCACGGCGCUCCUGAGGUCCGAGCUCCACCUCAAGGCCCAGGUCUCCCCUCUGCUGGGAGAUGCCGAUGGGAGCCAGGCCGAGAAGAGAGGCUUUAACCCCUGGGGCCUGCACUGCCACCAGGCCCACCUGAGCCGCCUGUGCGCCGAGUACCCCGAGAACCAGCGGCACCGGUUCUUGUUGCUGGAGAACAUUGUGUCGCAAUACAAGCAUCCUUGCAUCCUGGACUUGAAGAUGGGAACCCGGCAGCACGGGGACGAUGCAUCGGAGGAGAAGAAGGCCCGCCAUGCGAAGAAGUGUGCGCAGAGCACCUCGGCUCGCCUGGGCCUGCGCAUCUGCGGCAUGCAGGUUUAUCAAGCUGAUAAGAAGCACUUCCUCUGCAAAGACAAGUACUAUGGAAGGAAGCUGUCGGUGGAGGGCUUCCGACAAGCGCUCUGUCAGUUCCUGCAUGAUGGGACCCGCCUGCGGACGGAGCUGCUGGAGCCCAUGCAGCACCAGCUCCAAGCCCUCCUCUCUGUCAUCAGGAGCCAGAGUUCCUACAGGUUCUACUCCAGCUCCCUUCUCAUCACCUAUGAUGGGCAGGAGGCCGCCCCCAGCAGCAGUGACACCCUCGCCAAGGUCGACGUCCGCAUGAUCGACUUCGCUCAUACAACGUACAAAGGCUCCUGGAAUGAACGAGCCACCUACGAUGGGCCAGAUCUCGGCUAUAUCUUUGGCCUGGAAAACCUCAUCCAGAUCCUGCGGGAUAUUCAGGAGGGCGCAUGAGACGUGUCCAGUCCAUUGAGAAUUUUCGGGAAUACAGCUCUCAAAAGGGACCUCUUGGUAGCUGAGACGUCCCUGUAAAUAAUUAUAUCUACGUUCAAAGAUCAUCUCUAUACACGGCAGGCUGUGCUGACAGCUGCUAAGAAACCAGCUCUGGAGGAUAUGUUAUAUGGAUUUCAAAGCAAGUUAACUUGCCUAAUGAUGUUUAGCCAAGAUAAAGAUGUGAUUGAUUUGCAUGCUCUGCAUCCGUGGUGGGAAAACUGCGUCAAAGCCUCCUGGAUGGCAAAAAGAAAUCAGCCAGAAAGAAGUAUUUGCUGACAAAGUAGAGCCCUAAGUACUGCCUUUCCUGGGCCACCUCCUUGCUGGAAAACCUGGUACCACAUCAUCCAAGGCCAAAGCUCCUGGCUUCGCUCUGAUUCCUGUCCCCAUUCUCAGGCUCCGGUGCUGUGGGACCUGCUUGAGUAUGAGGUGGGAAUGCCAGCCGGACACGAAGGCUUCCAGAUCCAGCCACCCACCUCCACUGCCAACUGUGCUGCGCUGGCUUCUGCCGUGAGCUCCAUCGUCCUGCCCUGUGACACCUGCCUCUGGGCUGCCCCUUUAUGCCAUGGUGCCCUUCACAGAGGACCUUCCUCCUCAUCUGCACACCAGCCCCCAUUCCCAGCUCCCCCUGAAGAUGUCAUCCACAAAGGGGCAGCUGGCUGCCAGGGACAAGGUUGGCUACGGUUUUAGACUGUUCUUACCUGACCACUGGACUCAGAAGAGUAACAGUGGCCUGGAACCUCAUGCAAGGCUUUGCAGAUUCAGCAACUCGGCUGAAGGAAUCCACCCAGUUACUGCUGAUCUGGGCAGAGGGAGAGGAGAGAAGGCGGUGGGUGUGUCUGCCUUUGCUCCCCAAUCUCCGUUUCCUUACAGAGGGGAGGAGCUGAGGGAGUCCCGGGUCCUCUAGGGUCAGCCAGUGCAUCUGGCCCCGCACAGAGGCCCCCCUGCUCACCCCUUGGCUGUGGGAGACCCAGCUCUUGGGAGCUCAGACUCUAGCUGAGGAGGCAUGAACAACACAACAGGCCAGCACGGGGCGAUGCAACGGAUUCAUCUGCAGGGCACAGAGGAUCAGUUCCAUAACAAGGCUGAAUGGGCUGUUGCGAGCAGAGCUGUCUGGGCAAGUACUGGAGGAGCUGCCCCCAGAUGGAUCAGCAAGUUUUAGAGCUCAUCAAAGACAGAAAUCCAGAAUCCGACUUGCCCCUGCCCUGCCCUUCACCUUUCUCCUCUGGACCUCAAGCCACCAGGUGUGGACGGCUGGGCCGAUGCCCUUUGUCUUUGGAUCCCUUAGGUGAGAGAAUGCUGUUCACAGGGCCUGCGGUCCAUUAGCAACUGUGCUUUGAGGCAAAGGGGGACCAAAACGACGAGGCUGCUGCUCUAGAUGGAGUCAGGGAAGGUGACAUUGACUGGAGAGGUGACAUUGACUGGAGAGCAGAGCGAAGGGGGGUGGCAGGUCCCUGAGGCCGAUGGCAGGAGGGGUUAGGGUCUCUGAGGCUGCCAUUUAAGAGCCCAGCCCAGGACACCUCAAACGCUAACGUAUCUUGAAAAAAAACUCACCUGCAGGAAAAAGCAGCAAUGUGCUGCCACCGUGACCCUUACGGCUGACCUUUAUACAGGUCCAUCAAGGGACAAGGUCCUCUGGCACGAGUCCAGGCCCGCUCUUCAGGGUAACCGAGCUGGUUGCUCUGGGUGCUGCAGCCACCCACUUCCCCCAGUUGAAUACACCGAGAGAAGAAAAAUCAGGCAAUCGUGCCCCACAAUACAGCUAAGUAUUUAAUUCGUUUUUAAUGUUUACAUUAUUAACACCAGCAUUACAAAACGAUAUUUUUACUUUCCAGCGAUUUAAAUGUGCAAUUCAGUGUCUCAAUUACUGGGAUCAUUAUAACUUGAAAAACUGAAGCUGAGGUCCCUCCCUCCCUCCUCCCCCGAUGGUGCCUCGUUUCUAUAAAGAGCCAGCAGGGCUCCAUAAAGCCCAAAUACCCAUUCUAAAUGGAUUGGGAGGCCCAGCCCUGCUGGGGGUUUUCAAGGAGCCUGGGGAGGCUGCAUUCAGUGUGGGAUGAGUGACAGCCAGCAGGUGGGUGUUAAAAUGGUCAUCAACUCCCUGAGGGACUGGCACUGCCAAGCCACGUUCCAGGCAGUGCCUAUUAAUGUGCCCAGAAUGGCGCCAGGUGACGGACAAGCCAGUGAGUCCAGACUCUGGAUCCAGCCACCACAGGCAUGGAUGGGGGCGGGGUGAAAAGGUGAAACAAGGCCAGAGAGGCCCAAGAACCCCGUGGGAACUAUGCCACACACAGCUCAUGACAAAAUGCUGCAAGGAGGCCUGGAAAGACAUCUGAUGGAGGUGUGAGUGGAAUCAGCCAGGGUUCAAGUCCAGCCUCUGCCACUUACCCGCCGAGGACCUUGGCCCGUCUUGCCAUUUCUGGGCCUCCGUUUCCACCUCUGUCAAGUGGGGCAGUAGAGGUACUUGACUCUGAGAGCCACUGGUGAGGACUAAAUGAGUCAAGACGAAGGCAUUUAGAACAGGGCUGGGCGCACAGCAAAUACUCAGUACGUGCUCAUUUAUCAUUAUCAUCCUCCUCUUAAGGUAGAGUGUGAUUUCAUAGUCCCUGCACCCACCCAAAGCUGCCCCGAAGGCCCUUGGAAGUCGCUUUUGCCCUUGAGUGACCCAGGUCUCUCGAAAACACAAGCCCCUCCAAGCCACCCAAACCCCACCCCCCACCCCAUCACUGUGGACACAGUACCCUGAUCCCUCCUUGGCACUUCUCACGUCUGAAAUGAUCUUGUUCAUUUAUGAGGUGAUAGAAUAGAUAGAAAGCACUAGUAUUAUUAUUGCUAUCGAUGUUUGCUUGGUUGUCCUCUCCUCCCACUUAAAUGUGAAACUCAUGGGAUCAGGGCCUCAUCUGUUUUGUCCAACACAUUCGAGGGGCUCAGGGCUGGCUUCAUGGGAGUGUGAUCUGAAGCCACCCCUCACCCACCCACCUGGGUUAAUGCCCUGCUGUUUUUAUCUCGACAUCUUUAAUAAUGUGUUAAUGAGGAGCUUCACAUUUUUGUGGGGGGAGGGGCACAAAGUCUACAGAUAGUCUUAGAUGAAUGAAUGUAUGAAUGAGCAAGUUCAUCUGCCAACCCAGGUCUAUCAGCUUCCAAAACCUCACUCUUGGACCACCAAGCCAUGCAAGCCUGUAGUCGGGGGGAAGGGAGGGAGGUAGGUUGAUCAGGAAAAGGCUGUGCUGGGGAAGGAGAGCCUUAGAAGGAGACCCUGGGAGUUCCCAUUGUGGCACAGCGGUAACAAACCCACCUAGUACC